rnacentral:rRNA from 1 species
GCACCGGCUAACUACGUGCCAGCAGCCGCGGUAAUACGUAGGGUGCAAGCGUUAAUCGGAAUUACUGGGCGUAAAGCGUGCGCAGGCGGUCCGCUAAGACAGAUGUGAAAUCCCCGGGCUUAACCUGGGAACUGCAUUUGUGACUGGCGGGCUAGAGUAUGGCAGAGGGGGGUAGAAUUCCACGUGUAGCAGUGAAAUGCGUAGAGAUGUGGAGGAAUACCGAUGGCGAAGGCAGCCCCCUGGGCCAAUACUGACGCUCAUGCACGAAAGCGUGGGGAGCAAACAGGAUU